GGGGGCGUAGCUCAGUUGGUAGAGCGUUCGCUUUGCAUGUGAAAGGUCCUGGGUUCAAGCCCCGGCGCCUCCA
rnacentral:tRNA from 1 species